rnacentral:lncRNA from 1 species
AGGCGACCGACGCUGAAAGGGCCGCGGAGUCGCGUGUCAGGGCUGGAGGGAGAUCUUGAGCUGAGAAAUAAAUUAUGUUGCUGAGGCUGAAGAUGAUGCACAGAAGUAUGGCUCCAGCUAUCUGAGAGAAAGAGAAGGGCUUGGAGGUGGCCAGGAGCCAUUCCUUCCUCAGAGUCUUGUCCAGAAGUAUGGCUUCCAUCUGCAUGUGCGUGGCCAGGAUCACACACACGUGAAACAGCUGGUGACUGUGACCUAUGGCAAACACAAAAGGCCGUCAAGAUCAGCAAUGAAAAGGAAUGAGUACUGAUACAUGCUAUGGCAUUCAUGCUAAAAAUGAUGCUAAGUGAAAGAAACCAGACAGGAGACCACAUAUUAUAUAAAAUCUCCAGAAUAUGCAAAUCCAUAAAGACAGAGAGUAGAUUAGAGGCUGCCUCAAGCAGGGGGUGAGAAUAGGUAUUAACAGUGCAUGGGUCUGAUGGAGGGGAUGAAAAUGUUCUAAAACUGAUGUAUGGUGAAUUUACUGAAAAUAUCAUUAAAUUGUAUACUUGACAUUAGAGAAUUAUUGAAUAUGUGAAAUAUACCUUAAUAAAUUUAUUUUUAAGAAGCAAUAUGGGAAAAAUAAAAGGCCCAUCAGAGAAAACCAAAUCCAAAUUCUUUUUUAAAACAACUUAUCCACCAGUCUCAUUUUUCAGAUGAAAAAAUUAGGCACCAAAGUUCAUCUCUUGAGAGCCAGCACUGAUCAGCUCAGAGUCUCACUUCAGUGCUGAGGGAGAAGCUGGCUGAAUUUUCUGUUGGCCACUAACCAAGUGGACCUCUCCCUACUGCCAGUUAGUCACAGAUAUGACCAGGACUCUUCCUCCCCAAUGCCAUGCUGGACCCAGCUCACAUGGUGCCCUUCACAGAGGCUGGGAGCCCAGUAGAGGGUAGUGGGAGUGACAGGGACAGGGACGUGCUGGGUGGUUGGUGAGAAAACAAAUCCAAUGCCUAGGGUCGGGGGCAGCUUUGGGGGACAACCCUCAGACCCCAGGAGUAAGGAGGCGACCACAUGUGUUAUGGGCUGAAUGAUGUCCCUGAAAAAUACAUGUGCUGAAGUCUUAAGCCCCAGAAUGAGACCAUAUUUGCAGAUAGGAUCUUUAGAGAAAUAAUUAAAUAAAAAUGAAGUCUCUAAGAUGGGCCUAAUCCACUAUGACUGGUGUCCUUAUAAGGAAAGGAGUUUAGGCCAGGCGCGGUGGUUCACGCCUGUAAUCCCAGCACUUUGGGAGGCUGAGGCGGGUGGAUCACGAGGUCAGGAGAUAGAGACCAUUUUGGCUAACAUGAUGAAACCCCGUCUCUACUAAAAAUACAAAAAUUAGCCGGGCAUGGUGACACGUGCCUGUAAUCCCAGCUACUCUGGAGGCUGAGGCAGGAGAAUGGCGUGAACUCGGGAGGCAGAGCUUGCAGCGAGCCAAGAUCAUGCCACUGCACUCCAGCCUAGGCGACAGAGCGAGACUCCGUCUCAAAAAAAAAAAAAAGAAAGAAAAGGAGAUUAGGACACAGACAUGCACGUAUACAAGAAAAAGAUCAUGUGAAGACAGUUGGAAAGAACGGCCAUCGACAAGCCAAAGAGAGAGGCCUCCGGAGAAGCCUACUUGCCAACGCUUUGAUCUCAGAUUUCCAGCCUCCAGAAUUGUGAGAAAAUAAAUUUCAGUUGUUUAGGCCACAACAGUCUGUGAUACUUUGUUAUGGCAGCCCUAGCAAACUAAUGCAGCAUAAGAGUUAAAUAAGGUUUCUCUUUUGGUUUAAAAAAAAUAAAAUAAAAAGGCUGGGCAUGGUGGCUCACACCUGUAAUCCCAGCACUUUGGGAGGCCAAGGCAGGAGGAGUGCUUGAACCCAGGAGUUUUGAGACCAGCCUGGGCAACACAGUGAGAUCCCAUCUCUAGAAAAAUAAAAAAUUCAGUGUUUCACCCCCAGGACCUAUCUCAGAAGAAAUAUUCAAUAAAUGUGUCCUAGGAAUGAACCGGCCUGGCCACCUCUACUAUUGAGCAGGAGCAGAGUUAGGAAGAUUGAGCAGGAGCAGAGAGGGAUUCCCACCUCCAGCAGACUCUGUUAGUUAAGGACUGAGAAUGUUCCAAAUCUUGUUAAUGAUCUGUCAUGAACUAUUUUCUAGGAAAUGUCCCCCAGAGGGGUGUUUUUCAGCUCUGUACCCCUAGGCCCAAGAGGAUGGGACAGAGGUGAAUAAAAUGUUAUUAAGAAACCUGAGUGGUAGCAAAAGAAGGCCCAGGGCCAUUUUUCCUGCAACCCCAAAACUUGCUACACAGCCACCUCUACUUCAUUAAGCGGGGCUGGGGAGGUGGACAUGGCAGUCAGGAUGCUGGUGACUCCGAUUCCCUGGCCUCUCCUUUUCCUCCUUUUUGGAAAUCUGUUCUCUAAGCAUUUUACUAGUUACAACCCCUUCUGACACAACAAAAGAAGAAAAGGAGAUAAAACUUUAAUCAGAUCAAACAAACUGCAUCUGGCCACAUCUUUUAGUGAGAGGAGAUGGAAAAUCAGGAACAAAAUGGGCUUGGGGAGAAGCAAGCUUCCUGCCCUGGUGGGGACAAUGACUGGCCCUUUGAUUCCCAUGUACUCACCUAAGGAACUCUCACCCCAAAGUCUUGUCAGCCUCACCAGAAAUGAUGCAAGGGUUCCUCCUCCUAGCCAGUCCCAGAGCCAGAGCGGAGGAGGCACAUUCUGCAGGGACCCGCCCCUCCUUCCCUAGACAGAGCGGGGAAAGAACUCUGCCAGCAGGUGGAAACCCCCGUGACUCUGACACCUUCUCUCCACCAGAUCACUUCAAACUUAAGUGAGCUCAGGUUCAUCUGGAGGAUGACUCGGCCUCUGUGUGAGUAUUGGGUUUCACUCCUGGCGUUUCUGGUUCAGGAGGUCUGUGGUGGGGCCUGAGAAUCUGCAUGUUCUCAGAUGAUGCUGAUGCUGCUGGCUGAUGACCACCCCUGGAGAAACCACUGCUCUACCCUGAACCCCUGGCCCCCUCCCGUCCACCAUGCUCAAGACAAAGAAAGAUGCUUUCUCCCCUUUUCCCUUUUCUGCACAGCCCCCUGUUGUCUGGUACCCUCAGAGCCAUCUUCAUCCUUUCUUUCCUCUUCCUCUCCUCGGCUGCUCCCAAUGUACUUUUUCUCUUCACAUAGGAUCUCUCUCACCCAGGCUAGAGUGCAGUGCAUGAUCAUGGCUCACUGUAGCCUCAACCUUCCAGGCUCAAACCAACGCCUCCCAAGUAGCUGGGACCACAGGUGCACGCCACCAUGCCCAGCUAAUUUUUGUAUUUUUUGUAGAAAUGGAGUUUCACUAUGUUGCUCAGGAUUGUCUUGAGCACAGUCUCAAGUAAUCUGCCCACCUUGGCCUCCCAACGUGCUGGGAUUACAUGUGUGAGCCACCACGCCCAGCCCCAAUGUUCACUUAAUCAUGGGAUUCCAUGUUCUGGAUGACAAUAAGACACACUGGCUCCAUACCCCAUCAGAAUGCUUUAGGCUCCUGGGCCCACCUGCCCUCCAUCCUGCCCAUGCUACCUAACAAUGCACCUGCUGCAGACAUCCUGACCUCUGUCAACUUGCAAUGUUACUCGCCUUGGCCUCUCUCUCUGCCCUUCCCUGCCCUUUGCAGCUACGUGCACUGGAGUCAGGGACAGGACCCUCCCCAGUCAGGAGGGCAAUGAGCAGAGCAGCAGGGCUGUUGCCCACUCACCGAUGUAGUCAAAGCGUCCAGGGGCUAGGCGUUCUGGCAGAUGUGCAGAGUACAAGAAAGAGGCCAGGAGGGUCAUGAUCAUGUGCUUCUGGUGGUACGAGGUGGCUUCAUUUUGUGCACUCUCCCCUGGGAACAGGAAUAGCUGCAGGUGUUUAAAGAAACAUCAGGUCUUGAGAGGACAGGCCUGAGGCAGGCCCUCUUCCUUCUCAGCACCUGCAUCUGGGACUUUGGGGGCUCUGACACCCACACAUGUUAGCACACAUACACAAACUCCAGAGGCCAAGGCCCUCACCUCCUCAGGUCUGUGACCUGGUAGAGGAAACUCAGGCACCAUGUGAGCAGAGCUCCUAUCCUGAGUGUGGUCGAUUGAGACUCGAGACUAUUGUAUUUCAAUCCCCCAAAUACUCAUGAGAGUCUUUUGGUUUAUUUACUUAACUGAAUCGGAGAGAAAAAGGAAAGAAGAAAGGAAUGGGAAAGGAAAAGAAAGACAAAAAAUCCUAUUAGAUAAUUGGUAUUCUUUCUGGGGUAAAAUGUAAGUACAGUUGACUCUUAACAUGCAGGCUAGGGGCAUUGACCCCCUGCAGUCAAAAGUCCAUGUACAACUUUUGACUCCCCCAAACUUAAUUACUAAUAGCCUCCUGUUGACUGGAAGCCUUACCUGUAACAAACUGCCAAGUAACACAUAUUUUGUGUAGGUAUUAUAUAUUGUAUUCUUACAAUAAAGUAAGCUAGAGAAAAGCAAGUGAUAUUGAGAAAAUCCUGAGGAGGAGGAAGAAGAAAAGGGGUCGGUCUUGCUGUCUCAUGAGUGGCAGAGGUGGAAGAAAAUCCAUGUAAAGUUCCAACCCAUGUUUAAGGGUCAACUGUUUAGUGGAUUCACACUGGAACUCACUUUUUAUCAGCACAUCCACUGAACUGGUGCUCCUAAUUAAGGCUUUAAGGCCUAGAAAUCCCUGGAAGGCCUUCUGAGUCAUCCAAAAGUAUCAAUGAUGGCCACUAUACUGUUUCAGAGCUAAGUAUAGUUUUUGUAUUAUUGUUAUAAAGUCAUAGUAGCCACCACUUACCGAGGGCAGCAGGCCAGGCCUCUUACAUGCAUCAUUUCACCUGAGCCACAAUUAUCAUAAGGCAGACUCUAUCUUCCCCAUUUUGCAGGUGAGGAAGGUGGGCCAGAGAGUGACUUGCACAUCACUUAGUGAGAAGUGAAGUCAGGAUCUGAAUCCAGGCAGGCUGAUUCCAGCAUCAACAUCACCACUUAGAACUGGACCUCCCCUUCCCUCUGCCCUCCUCUGACUCAGCCACAUGCCAGAAGCACACGAUGCUUGUCACAACACAGGACUUGCACUGCCUGAUUUGGAGGUACAUGGGACAGAAUUGCUCUGUCUGCUCUUGGUUUCCUGUGUGUGGUCUGCGCCCUUGAGGAAGGAGUGAGGGGAACGGGCUGCAGCCCCAUCUUUGGCGCUCUCCCAGACCCACAGAGGCAGAGCACAGAGAACGUGCUCAAUGCCCCAGCUGCUGGGUGGAGCUCAGCCCCUCCCCUUGUCCCUCAGCCCUGCCAUCUGGGCUUUAUUCUUCAAGCCCACAGGACGCUGCCUCUAGGAGGGAGCUUCACUCACCGGGUACUGGACAGGCACCGCAGAGCCUAUCAGAUCCAUUGUUUUCCCCUACAAAGGAGGCCUAGUACCCUUAUGUACAGAUGAGGAAACUAAUCUGAGGCUUAGAGAGUUGUGUGUCCUGCCUGAGGUCACAUAGCCAGUGAGCAGUGGGGCCAGAAUUUGAACUCAAGCCCGUAUGGUUUGAAAGUGCGUGGACUUUCCCCUUCUAGUCCUACUUGUUGUCCCUCCUACACUCUCUUCCUUUAUGCUCUCCAUCUCUUUCCCAUCGCUCCUUUAAGACCCUCAUUCAUGCCUUUUCCUUCAAUACUAACAGUAUACUACUUGAUGAUGGAACAAUGCAUUCCCGAACUCUUGCUACCAGUCAGCACUUGACAUGUUCCCCGUGUAAUCCUCCCCACAGCCCAUGAGGUGUUAUCAGGCCCAGCUUACAGAUGAAGGAAAUCGAGGCAUAGAGAACUGGCCCAGGGACUGACAGCAAGUAUUGGAGACCUGCCUGCAGAGCUCGCUCUCCUGCUCACUCCACUCAGCCCCAGGCUGCCUGUUCUAUGACGUUCCCGAGCCCCCAGUCAUAUUGUCAGUCAGGGCCUCUGUGCUUAUGUCAUCUCCUAACCACUCCUCAAGUGCCACCAAGGCAGCACCUGGGUGUGGGGGAAAGAAAGAUAUAUCAGACUGUUACUGUGUCUAUGUAGAAAAAGGAAGACAUAAGAAACUCCAUUUUGAUCUGUACUAAGAAAAAUCUUCUUAUUUAUUUUCUCAGUCUCUCGUCCCACCUGACGAGAAAUACCCACAGGUGUGGAGGGGCUGGCCCCCUUCACCUGGGUCUCGACUCCUGUUUUGUUCUGCGGUUCCCAUUGCAGUGCUGUGACCCCCCAGAAGCUCAGGAAAACAACUGACUUCCUGGUGUUGCCAACAGGCAGAGAGGAGAUGCAGCCAGUCCUUACCCUGUAGAAGAUGGGGAGGGAGUCCCAGGUGUACGGAUAAGCAAAGGCGAGGACACGAAUCACCUUACAGAGUCUGGGCUUCUGGAUUUCAAGAAACCUAAAUCAGGGAAGGAAAGUGGGGAGGAAAUGGAAUGAAAAGAGUCUCAGCAAAUUGCAUACGCACAUGCAUGCACACCGAGGGCCUGGUCAUCAACAGAGGACAAGCAUUUUUCUACAAGCUCCUGUGGCCAGCAGCUUCUCCACCAGCCUCGUCCAUUCCUCCCACCCCAAUGGAAGUGACAAAACUUCAGAUGCAAAAAGAUCUCCAGGGACACCAUCUCCUGACCAUGGGAAGCAGUGGUGUCCAGACUAAGCCAGAAAGGAGGCGCUGGGCAGAAACCCUUCAAGGGCCAAGUUAUGUAACUGCCAAAGAACCUUUUAAAACUCUAGUUGCUACAGGGACAGGGAACGGGUAGGGGGAAUCGGGGGAUCCACUGCCACAGACUCUUGGGGGGCACACUCUGCAGAGGCUGAGAUGCACCCAUCUAGUUGGAGCCCAGGUAUUAUCAUGCAGGAGACCUGGGUUCAAGUAGGUGUUUGACCCUUGGAGAGCUUUCUGGAAUAUUUAUACCACACACAGGGAUACUUGGCUUGGGAAAACUAAAUAAACGUGAAGUCUUUCCUUCUCUUCUUCAUUGCCACCCUCACCCAACCUCCAAUCCAAAGACAGCUGACAGCAACAUUAAAACAAGUGAUGCUGAUUGUUGAGAAGAGAGGCAGGUCCCCCCAGACAGAACAUGACAGGGCCUCAGCUGACUUGGGCCCAGCCUGGGGCAGCAGCUCAGGGUAUGGGGAACUGGGUAGCACAGACAGCAGGCUGCACACUGGGAGGACAUGGGGAGGGGCAGG